rfam:Punctularia strigosozonata HHB-11173 SS5 unplaced genomic scaffold PTNSTscaffold_2, whole genome shotgun sequence.
GGCAAGAUGGCCGAGCGGUCCAAGGCGUGUGACUCAAGCGAAAGCUUGCCCGUUCUGCGGGUUAGGGUUCUCAUCAGAGUAUUCUGGCGUGGGUUCAAAUCCCACUCUUGUCA